GGACCGCAACAGCGGGGCCAGCCCUACAAACGCAAAUGUCUGUGACUGAGUGAGUGACUGAGUGAUGAAGUUACACCAUUGGUCGGCCGAGUUAUGAAGUUACACCAUUGGUCGGCCGAGUUAUGAAGUUACACCAUCGGUCGGCCGAGUUAUGAAGUUACGCCAUUGGUCGGGCGAGUUAUGAAGUUACGCCAUUGGCCGGCCGAGUUAUGAAGUUACGCCAUUGGUCGGCCUGGUCCAGCCAUACACUAGGGUGUUGACCUGGCCUUGUUUCUCUUCCUCAGACCCAUUCUCGCGCCGGAGAAAGGCGAGUGCGUUAACUCCAGCGCCACCGAAAGGCGAGGCGCGGGACGUUAUUUAUGGACCGCGUGUGGCAUCCUGCUUCGCCCCACACAAAGGGGGACUAAAAAAAAUCUAAAGAUUUUUUCUUCUUCUUCCCCCUUGUAGAAUACCCUCGGCCAUUACUUCCUGUUUACUCAAGGAUUCAUGAUCUGCUGAUAGUCAGUUCACACAGAGAUCGUCACGCAUGUGAUUUUACUGCAGUGACCCUGUGCAGGACAGUAAAUUUUGGACAAUAAAGGGAAAUAGAACAAUUCCAAAUUCAUGUAAUUAUAAGUAAUUAUAAUCAUAGUUUAUUAUUACUAUUAUUAUUAUUAUUGAUUCCAGUAUGGUAGUUCGUUUCUGUCCUUAAAAGGAGCUCAGUACUUCCCGCACAUCCACAUAUAAACGAUAAGGCUGGUAUCCCAAAACAAAGACGUGUUUUGAAGUCGUUCCAACGACCUUUGGCAUGCACACUUAUUGUACGUCGCUUUGGAUAAAAGCGUCUGCCAAAUAAAUGUAAUGCAAUGCUGACCUCGGAUGAACUCCAGUUUAAAGUUCAAGGAAAGAAGAGAAAACGGUCUCAGAACGGCUCCCUCUGGGAGGGGGGGGGGGGGGGAGUUGUUUCCACAGGAUGACCCGCAUUAGGUUUUAAACAGUGACCCCCCCCCCCCCUUCAGCUCCUAGCAGACAUACACAGGGGUCCCACUGUUAGAUGGGACAGACCAUGGGGUCGGCCGCCAGGGCACCCAGUAUCUGAAAUCGUACUGUGAGUAAAAUUGAACAAUCGCUUUUGACAGAUGUCCACGCUGCAUCUGCAACUGCAGACAGACAGAACCCCACGUUUCUAUGAUCAGGUCUGGAAAUAUCAGGGCGGCAGCGUAGUAUAAUGGGUAAGAAACUGGUCUUGUAAUCUAAAGGUCGCAGGUUCGAUUCCCAGGUAGGACAGUGUCGUUGUACCCUUGAGCAAGGUACUUAACCUGCAUUGCUUCAGUAUAUACCCAGCUGUGUAAAUGGAUGCAAUAUAAAUAAAUAAAUAAAUAAAUGAUAUGUAAAACGUUGUGUAAGUCACUCUGGAAAAGAGCGUCUGCUAAAUGCCAGUAAUGUAAUGCUAAAGAAGGCAGUUCCAAUUAACUCAUUGUUGAGUGGUUUCUAUUUUCCCAUAAAUGUAAUAAAGAAAACUAAGCACAUAACCUUCAAUGUGUUCUGUAGAUGUGAAGACAUUCCUUCCUCUUGCUGAUUUUUCCUCUAAUACCAUCUUUUAAAGGAGUCUGAGGGAGCCAUCUUAAUGAAAAUGGCACUUUGUCUAAAACAGGCCCGAUUUCACUGUCUGCCAAAUAAUAACUAACGCAGGCCAGAUAAAAGAGGGGAAAAACUGUAGAAAUGUUUGUCGAAAGCUCAUUGCUGUUUGUCCUUUGGGAAACUGGGAAAGAGAAAAUGUUCGGAGACAUCGAGCGUCAUCACGCACUGUAAUGACACCCUGGUGUUUUCUCUGGAAACAAAUACUGCAUCACAAGAAUUAGCCAAGUCCCAUCACGUGGACAAUGAGGCUUAACUGUCUGAGGAUGUGCUGGAAACUUUAGAUCCCUCCGGGAUCGAACCUUGACUUUGUAGAAUUAUAGAAAGAUUUAUAUUAAAUCAGAGGGGAAAACAGAAUU